rnacentral:lncRNA from 1 species
AUACUUCUCUAAAACGUUUCUCUCAGCUGCUGGACUUCUCUCAAAUGUCAUUAUACACUGUCUCUCAGCUUCUAAUGAACCAACAGGUACAUAAAAUGUCUAUUUUGUCCCUGACUUCUCUCAAACAAUAUUUAACAUACAACCUGUCAUAUAUUUAACACAAAAUGAGCUGAAAACAACAAAAAUAGAAUUUGGGCAACUACAUAGCAUUCAUCCAUUGAUCAUAAGUAUAAUUAGCAUCCAUAUGAGUGUAUUGGGCAUUAUAAUUACAAAAUAAGGGCACAUCCAAGUUGCAUGAGUGCACAUCAGAGUUGCAAAAUAAAUGCACUUUAGUGCACAUCAUAGUUACAAAAUAACCUCACACGUCAAGAACCAACACUAGUUUCACUUCUAACAUGUCAGAUAUCUAAGCUUCUUUUUGCUCUUUUUGGAGUCAUCUUCUUCGUGAGUGUACUAGGUUGUACAGUUGGAGGAGAAAUAUCCUGAGAUGCUCCUUCUUCCAUCAACAAAGCAAGACGUCUACACAUGUAACAUUUUAUCUUUCAAAGUUGUACCCAUGAAAACUAAUUAUGCAUGAACAGAACUAGUAAAAUUUCUUACCCUCUUGUCACAAUUCCAGGACUCUCUUGCAUGAUUUGCUCCCUUGUUGGAACAGGACUACCUGGUAACAAAUCUUUAGGUGUCCAUCCUUUGGUUGUGUUUUUUCUUAUCUUUCUCUUCCUGCAUUGGUAGAAAUACUUAAUAAAAAUAAACAAGCUUAAGAAAAUAAUGAAAAAGUUACCUUUUCUUAGUUCCAUUGAGCGAACAUUUGUAGCUAGAUUUCCUAUGUCCAAACUCUCCACAACCAGAACAUCGUGCUUUGCCUCUAAUCAUUUUUUUAGUCUUCUCAUUCUCAUUCUCAGAUAUAUUUGGACCAGAUUUUGAUCCACCACUUCCACCUUCGAGACAACCUUUUAUCCUAUUUUUCUUUUGCCUCCCAACACUCCUUUUACUAAGUGGUGCAGCAAUCUCAAUUGGCAAGUCUAAUUUAGGCCACUUGUCCUUGUGAGGAAUUGGCUCAAUCAUUCUUGCAUAUGCAUUUCUAAACUUCUGCACAGAGUAAUAUUCAUGUACAAAGUCUUCCAUUUUGACAUCUCUAGCCUUUUGAGCUGUUAUCAAGGCCAAAGCAUGUUGACAUGGCUUACCAGUGUGCUGCCACUCAAGACAUGAACACUCAUGCAAUUGUGCCUUCACCACAAACCGAUGGUUACAAUUAUCCCAUACCUCAGCAGUAAAGUGGUCGUAUUUAACAACAGAUAAGUGUCCUAGUCCUCUAGUUUUGGCUCUCAAUAUUGCUAGGACAGCCGGUAGUAUCUUUCCAUCGAGUUUUUCUCCAAUUUCUCUCCUCCGGUACAUAAGAAGACCAAUCAUCUCUCGAAUCUUAUCAGCAAGGUCCGCCACGGGUAAGUCCUUUAUAUCUUUGAUCCAAUUGUUAAAAACUUCAGCUACAUUAUUUGUGACAUAAUCACACUUAAUGUUGGGAUUGAAAUCUGAUCUCAUCCACUUUAACUUAUGAUGCUUCUUCAACCACAACUUAGCAUCAGGAAUACCCCUAUAAAUAAUAUCCAAAUGUUUCUCAUAAGCUUCUUUGUCAUAUGCUCUUGCAGCAGGCCACAUAUGUCCACCACUUUCACCACUAUAUCUCUUUAUAAAAUUCUGCAUUAGAUGUCUAAAACAUUCCCUUUGUUCAGCUUGUGGAAACACUUGCCCAACAGCAAUCUCAAGACCUUUACAAGCAUCUGUGCAAAUAGCAAGUAAAGGACAUUCUCCUAAAGCCUUUUUCAGUUGAGUCAUAAACCAAACCCAAUUCUCUGUCGUUUCAGAGUCAAUGAAUCCAAAUGCAAGUGAAAACAUCUAGUUAUGACCAUCCACGCCCGUUGCUGCAGCUAGAUGACCAUUCCAGCGACCAUUUAGGGCGGUAGAGUCAAUACCAAGCCACGGUCUACAACCAGAUUUGAACCCCUCAAUACAAGGACCAAGUGCACAAAAAAAUCGGUGAAAAUAUACCCUACCACUAACCACCUUACAGUCAAUCUCAACAACACUAUCAGGUGACCUUUUUAAAAUUUCUGCCUUCCACGAGCCACACAACAAAUCCAAUGCCUUUUCUCUACCUCUCCAAACUGUGUCAUAGCCAAUUUUGCACUUGUAAUCUUUUUCUAACUUUUUUUGCAGUUCUACACAACGCAUCUGAGGAUUCUCUCUAAGAAUGACGACAGCUUUUGAAGCUACCCACUUGCAG